rnacentral:pre_miRNA from 1 species
AGUGUUUCUAUAAAAUUUUGAUUGUUGCUCAGAAAGCCGUGCAUUUGAAACGGGUCGCUUUCGAGCAGUAAUCAAAGUCAAAUAAAACACCA